rnacentral:rRNA from 1 species
AGUGAACGCUGGCGAUAGGCCUAACACAUGCAAGUCGAACGGCAGCACAGUAAGAGCUUGCUCUUACGGGUGGCGAGUGGCGGACGGGUGAGGAAUACAUCGGAAUCUACUUUUUCGUGGGGGAUAACGUAGGGAAACUUACGCUAAUACCGCAUACGACCUACGGGUGAAAGCAGGGGAUCUUCGGACCUUGCGCGAUUGAAUGAGCCGAUGUCGGAUUAGCUAGUUGGCGGGGUAAAGGCCCACCAAGGCGACGAUCCGUAGCUGGUCUGAGAGGAUGAACAGCCACACUGGAACUGAGACACGGUCCAGACUCCUACGGGAGGCAGCAGUGGGGAAUAUUGGACAAUGGGCGCAAGCCUGAUCCAGCCAUACCGCGUGGGUGAAGAAGGCCUUCGGGUUGUAAAGCCCUUUUGUUGGGAAAGAAAAGCAGCAGGUUAAUACCCCGCUGUUCUGACGGUACCCAAAGAAUAAGCACCGGCUAACUUCGU